rnacentral:rRNA from 1 species
CCUACGGGUGGCAGCAGUGGGGAAUAUUGCACAAUGGGGGAAACCCUGAUGCAGCGACGCCGCGUGAGUGAUGACGGCCUUCGGUGUGUAAAGCUCUGUCUUCAUGGAAGAAAAUGACGGUACCUGAGUAAUCAGCCACGUCUCACUACGUGCCAGCAGCCGCGGUAAUACGGAGGCGGCGAGCGUUAUCCGGAUUUACUGGGCGUAAAGGGAGCGUAGGCGGCCUGUUAAGUGCGUGGUGAAAGGUUGGGGCUCAACCUUAAGGCUGCAGUUGAAACUGGAAGUCUUGAGUACAGGAGAGGUGAAGGGAAUUCGUGGUGGAGCGGUGAAAUGCUUAGAUAUUACGAAGAACACC